AACGCUAGCUACAGGCUUAACACAUGCAAGUAGAGGGGCAGCAUGAAUAAAGUUUCGGCUUUAUUUGAUGGCGACCUGCGAAUGGGUGAGUAACACGUAUCCAACCUGCCUGUUACUGGAGGAUAGCCUCCCGAAAGGGAAAUUAACACUCCAUAUUAUAUAGAUGAGGCAUCUUGUUUAUAUGAAAGUUUCACGGUAACGGAUGGGGAUGCGUCCCAUUAGAUAGUAGGCGGGGUAACGGCCCACCAAGGCUACGAUCGGUAGGGGUUCUGAGAGGAAGGUCCCCCACAUUGGAACUGAGACACGGUCCAAACUCCUACGGGAGGCAGCAGUGAGGAAUAUUGGUCAAUGGGCGAGAGCCUGAACCAGCCAAGUAGCGUGCAGGACGACGGCCCUAUGGGUCGUAAACUGCUUUUAUGCGGGGAUAACGUGCGCCACGUGUGGUGUAUUGCAGGUACCGCAUGAAUAAGGACCGGCUAAUUCCGUGCCAGCAGCCGCGGUAAUACGGAAGGUCCGGGCGUUAUCCGGAUUUAUUGGGUUUAAAGGGAGCGUAGGCCGUUGUUUAAGCGUGUUGUGAAAUGUCCCGGCUCAACCGUGGCACUGCAGCGCGAACUGGACGACUUGAGUGCGCGGAACGUAUGCGGAAUUUGUGGUGUAGCGGUGAAAUGCUUAGAUAUCACGAAGAACUCCGAUUG
rnacentral:rRNA from 1 species